rnacentral:lncRNA from 1 species
CUACAUAUAAUGUACUUGCUCGCAUCCAUUUGGAAAACGAGACAACUAGAGAAGACAGUAUUUAUUAAUCUUCAAUUUAGGGACACCAUCAUUGUUUGAAUGGAUAUCAUUCUCCUUGGACGACUAGAAUACCUCGUGAUGCUUGUACAUAUUACGGUGAGCCAUCGGUCCUAGAAAAUGUUAAGUAGUUUAUGAAAGUCAAUGUAAAUAAAUUGUCACAAAGUAUAACAACAUAUAAAAUUAAUGUAUGCAAACACCUUACUUGAUCAUGCUGGCUUUCAUGAGAAUCAUCUUUUAGACAUCCAGAGACUCAUAAUUUCUUAUGCUCCUUGCACCACACCAUUAAACUUUUCUGAUUGUGUUUCACAAAAUGCCGGUGCAACUCUCCAUGCUAGUUGAUUCAAAAUAAAUACAACAUCUAAUAUAUCAUCCUUGUACAGAUCUCUUGCAAGGUUCUUCUCUACAUUUUUGAACUUGGUCCUAAAUUUUUAAUAAAACAGAGUAUCAUAAAUACGACAGUACAUAAAUUCAUAUUAUACUGGUACAACCUUUGACCAAACAUACCUUAAUUGAGUUAAAUGAAUGUUCACGCAUGCUUCAACAGUAUAGGACCGUACAUUUACCCUCAUCUGGGUAUUUAUAGGAUUAUGGAUGAUUGUACCCAAAUGAUCGGCAAAACUUUCGGAAAGAGCACGGUCAUUGUCAAACCGGAAUUCAAUUUUUUUGGAACUCCAUGAAACCAGCUACUCCCUUGUAUUGAUUUUGGUAAGAUCAAUUUGUCUGUUUCUUUCCUAAUUCAAGCGAAUUUUAUUCCAUUUCUUAGCAAAAUGUUUUGAGGCUUCCUUGUUGCUGGUAUAUACACAACUAAUGAAGUUAUUCUCCUCUGCCAACAAAGAAUAAUGUUCUGCUCAAGAAUAAGUGAUUGUAACCUGAACGUCACAAGUAGUCAAGUAAUGAAGGAACUAAUAAAUGCUCUGAUCUCUGAACCUAAAACGGACAAAAAGAAGAAGUUCAGGACCAUCAUUUAUAUGUAUAUAUACAUUUACUUUUCAUUGCUUAAAUAUAUAUUAUCAAGCAACUUCGUAGCUAGGAACGAACCUGCAAAUAAAAAGAGAACACAGGCUACGAGAAUGCAAAUGAAUAUACUACAUUAUAUCUACCAAAAUUCUAAAGGAGGGCUUGGCUGAUGAGUUUGCACAUCUAACAGCACACGUGCAAUCUUUAAUAUAAAGUACAAAUCUUGGAUUGUGACUCUAUUUCCAUUGACCAACACACACAAUAUCAGGGGCUUACACAAUACGAUAGUUUAAUAAUACAGUACAAAACAAAGGAAAAACUCAUGCGUGUCAUUUGGAACUGGCACAAGCCCGGUCCUAGGUCUUGCAGAUUCAUAGGAAAUACGGCCCUGCUACCGUGAUGGCAACAACAAAGUAUGGAAAGAAUACGACAAAUCCUUCCUAGUCUGACAAAUAUGGCAGCACUGGUUCCGUCAUGCAAGACCCGGCAGCAGACGUACCUCCCACCCACGGCGGUGUUUGGCGGUUGACGGCGCAUCUCUCGUUGGUAGUUCCGUCCACAACGAGUCCCUACGACGGGCGAUGUUGCCUGCGACAGUUCCACCGUGGCUGUGCUCGAUCGACGACAGAUGUCUUGUCUCCCAUCGGCUCCACCUGCGGCCGGAGAAGAUAUAUCAGGAUUGGGACAAGGAAAAACUAGGGAGAGGACGAGAGGAAAAGAAGAGUAGGGGAUGGGAUCGUAACAAAUCUAUUUUUUCGUUGUGCAUGGUUA